rnacentral:rRNA from 1 species
AUCGAACGCUGGCGGCAGGCCUAACACAUGCAAGUCGAGCGGGAACUUCGGUUCUAGCGGCGGACGGGUGAGUAAUGCGUAGGAAGCUACCCGACAGAGGGGGAUACCAGUUGGAAACGACUGUUAAUACCGCAUAAUGUCUACGGACCAAAGUGUGGGACCUUCGGGCCACAUGCUGUCGGAUGCGCCUACGUGGGAUUAGCUAGUUGGUGAGGUAAUGGCUCACCAAGGCGACGAUCCCUAGCUGGUUUGAGAGGAUGAUCAGCCACACUGAAACUGAGACACGGUCCAGACUCCUACGGGGGGCAGCAGUGGGGAAUAUUGGGCAAUGGGCGCAAGCCUGAUCCAGCCAUGCCGCGUGUGUGAAGAAGGCCUUCGGGUUGUAAAGCACUUUCAGUAGGGAGGAAGGAUGUUGUGUUAAUAGCACAGCAUUUUGACGUUACCUACAGAAGAAGCACCGGCUAACUCUGUGCCAGCCGCCGCGGUAACAC